rnacentral:rRNA from 1 species
GUGCAGCAGGCGAGAAACCUUCGCAAUGCAGGAAAACUGCGACGAGGGAACUCCAAGUGCCUACGCUCAGCGUAGGCUGUUCUCAAGCCUAGAAAGCUUGAGGAGUAAGGGCUGGGUAAGACGGGUGCCAUCUGUGGUAGCAGUCAAUAGAUUCGAUUUGUUACUGCAAGGCAUAAGCCGCCGCGGUAAUACCCGCAGCCCAAGUGGUGGACCGCUUUUAUGGGCCUAAAGCGUCCGUAGCCGGCCCGGUAAAUGCCUGGGUAAAUCGUGGAGCCCAACUUCACGAA